AGCCUGAGGAAGAGGGCGGCGGCGGUGGUGGUGACUGAGCGGAGCCCGGUGACAGGAUGGCUGGGCACAGAAAGGAAUCCCCCUCUAAAAUGAAGAUUGUUCUAUAUCCAGUUGGGGAACUAUACCGAGGGUAUAUGAGCAAUUUAAUCCAGACCAUAAAAAUAUGACAGUGAGGACUUCUAAUAAUGAAGGAAAGUGAAGAUAUCAAAGAUUAUAAUUCAAAAGCACACAUUUACCUGAUGAAACUGAAACAUAGGCUGUUGUAUAUCUCUGUAACGUACACCUAAUAGUUUGAAUUGGUGUUGGUAUUAGGAGAUCUGCACAUCCCACACCGGUGCAACAGUUUGCCAGCUAAAUUCAAAAAACUCCUGGUGCCAGGAAAAAUUCAGCACAUUCUCUGCACAGGAAACCUUUGCACCAAAGAGAGUUAUGACUAUCUCAAGACUCUGGCUGG
rnacentral:sRNA from 1 species